rnacentral:rRNA from 1 species
UACGAAGGGGGCUAGCGUUGCUCGGAAUCACUGGGCGUAAAGGGUGCGUAGGCGGGUCUUUAAGUCAGGGGUGAGAUCCUGGAGCUCAACUCCAGAACUGCCUUUGAUACUGAGGAUCUUGAGUUCGGGAGAGGUGAGUGGAACUGCGAGUGUAGAGGUGAAAUUCGUAGAUAUUCGCAAGAACACCAGUGGCGAAGGCGGCUCACUGGCCCGAUACUGACGCUGAGGCACGAAAGCGUGGGGAGCAAACAGG